CAGCAGCCACGGUAAUACGAAGGUCCCGAGCGUUGUUCGGAAUCACUGGGCGUAAAGGGAGCGUAGGCGGCGUGGUAAGUCAGAUGUGAAAUCCCGGGGCUCAACCCCGGAACUGCAUCCGAUACUGCCGUGCUAGAGGAUUGGAGAGGUAGCUGGAAUUCUUGGUGUAGCGGUGAAAUGCGUGGAGAUCAAGAGGAACACUCGUGGCGAAAGUGAGCUACUGGACAAUAUCUGACGCUGAGGCUCGAAGGCCAGGGUAGCGAAAGGGAUUAGAUACCCCCGUAGUCCCUGUCUCUUAUAA
rnacentral:rRNA from 1 species